AUCUGGGACCUGCUGCUGGUGUGACCAAAGGCUGGAGGAAGUGGGCCUCCCCAGGGGAGUUGAGAAACCCAGGCUCAGGCUGCACUGGCUUCUCCUGCCCACACGAGCGAGAGAGAUCAAAGACUGAGGACAUGGAGCUGAGCAGAGUUGCCGUGGCCCUGGGGCCCACUGGCCAGCUCCUCCUGUUCCUGAGCUUCCAGACCCUGGCUGCCCAGGCUGCCGACACCUGUCCAGAGGUCAAGGUGGUGGGUCUGGAGGGCUCGGACAAGCUCUCCAUCCUUCGAGGCUGCCCGGGGCUGCCUGGAGCCACCGGGCCCAAGGGAGAGGCGGGCGCCAAUGGACCGAAGGGAGAGCGAGGCUCCCCCGGCGUCGUCGGGAAGGCAGGACCGGCUGGGCCCAAAGGAGACCGAGGGGAGAAGGGCGCGCGUGGAGAGAAAGGAGAGCCUGCGCAGCUCCAGUCAUGUGCCACAGGUGACUGCCCACACGCUGACCUCCAGACCUCAGCCUGGACCCGCCCCUGCUGGGGAGAGGUCGACCAGAAGGCCAGCUGCACAGACUCACCUUCCAGGAUCCAAAGACAAAGCACUCUGCACCCAUGUUACUCCUCAAAGAGUCAAGCGACCGGCAGCUGCUGCCUGGAUGACUCUAGCAUGUUCCAUGGCAAUUCUGGAGGAGUUUAUACCUGCCCCUGCAGGGCCAGGUGCCCAGGAGGCUAAGUGGGGGCAGCCCAGGUGGACCGGGCUGGGCCAUCGCAGCUGGCUGGCCUGGGGGCUGCGGCCCUGCCCAGGCUGCAGGCUUCCCCUCCCCCAGCAGGGGUCCCUGCGUCUCCCUGCCCCACCCCCACCCCCGCUGCCCCUGCCCAGGGCUCCGGCCCUGGCAUCCACCUCCCCGCUUCCCUUCCCAGGACCUCGGACCUGCAAGGAGCUGCUGACCAGGGGGCACUUUCUGAGCGGCUGGCACACCAUCUACCUGCCGGACUGCCAGCCCCUGACGGUGCUGUGUGACAUGGACACGGAUGGCGGGGGGUGGACCGUGAGUGCGGGCUCCCCGAGACGGCCCCGGGGUCUUGGGCGGCGGUGGGCUGUGUGCUCCUGGGAGUCACAGCGGCCGGGUCCUGCGCGGGUGGGAGGGCCCGUGUGGCCGAGGUCCCCGUGCUGGGGACGGCGCCAGGCCCCCGUCUCCCGCCCUCUCCCACCCGCACAGGUUUUCCAGCGCAGGAGCGACGGGUCGGUGGACUUCUACCGGGACUGGGCCGCGUACAAGCGGGGCUUCGGCAGUCAGCUGGGAGAGUUCUGGCUGGGGAACGACCACAUCCACGCCCUGACGGCCCAGGGUAGGGCCUUGGCGGGGGCACUCCGACCUCCACGGGCCCCGGACCUCAGCCCCGGACCAGCCGGAGCCGGCGAUGCCGCCCCCCGCCCCCCGGGUGGUCCCCCCUGACCUCAGGAAGGCUUGUCACCGGGCCGGCCUGGGACAGGUUUUCUCUUCGUCUCGCUGGGUGUUAGAAUCAGAAGCUGGACUGUUAGGGUGUAGACCUCUCUGGUCUCAGGGCCAAGUGUAUCUUAAGCUGGGAUGAGGAAGUGGGGGGCGUCUGGCCUGAGGGGCCCUUCUCCCACUUCCAGCUGUCGGUCCUUCCUUGAGGCUGGGGUCUCAGGCCCCCCGAGCCCCUCCCCGGCCUCUCUCAGUCAGGGCACGCGGGGGUCCCCCGAAGCCACCCUCCCCCUUCUCUGUUCAUAACCCCGGCUUCACGGCUGGUCCUGAGGAAAACCGAGAGGCUGUACAUCCUUUUCGACAUCUUCCGUGACCUUGAAGGUGACCUCUCGUGCCUGGAAAGUCGUGCCAAGGAAACUCUAGACACAGUCACUUAGCACCCUGGCGGCGAGGGGACCAACAGCCACUUGCAGAAUUUACAGUUUCCCAGGGGAGAGAGGCUUCAUUCCAGCCAAGGGACACCAACAUCGCGUUAGGCGUGGCCGAGGGGACAGCAGGGGAGCUAUUUGGAGAGAGGGACUUGUCCCAGGCUCUCACCCACUCCUGGCUGAACCUUCCAGGGCUGCCACGUUCAGACACCCCUUGAGAAUGGCCCCCAGUUCCCACCUCCCACACCUGGAGGGAGAGGCCCUUCUGCUGAGACCCGAACCCCUGCCCCUGCAGGAACCAGUGAGCUCCGGGUGGACCUCGUGGACUUCGAGGGCAACCACCAGUUUGCCAAGUACAGGUCCUUCCAGGUGGCAGGCGAGGCAGAGAAGUACAAGCUGGUCCUGGGAGGCUUCCUGGAGGGCAAUGCAGAGACCAGUUCUUCUCCACCAAAGACCAGGACAACGACAACCAUUCGGGAAACUGCGCGGAGCAGUACCACGGCGCCUGGUGGUACAACGCCUGCCACUCCUCCAACCUGAACGGCCGCUACCUCCGGGGACUGCACACCAGCUAUGCCAACGGCGUCAACUGGAGGUCGGGGAGAGGGUACAACUACAGCUACCAGGUGUCGGAGAUGAAAGUGCGUCUCACGUAGGUGGGGCCCGGCCCGGCUCCUCCCCAUCCACCGGCCUGCAGCCUCCAGAAGCUUCGCUCCGUUCUGCCAGCAUCUCGUCAUCCCUGCCACCCCCUCACUCCCACUCCAUAAACCUGCCUUGCCCAGACCCUUCUCUCCCAUCAGUGUCUGAACGCAUGUGCCCCACGGCCUCACAGAGGAAGAAUCACGUUUCAAAAGUG